UUGGAGGGCAAGUCUGGUGCCAGCACCCUUAUAAGUUCCAGCUCCAAUAGCGUAUAUUAAAGUUGUUGCACUUUAAAGCUCGUAGUUGAAUUUCGGGGUUAGUAGGUUGGUCAUGCCACUGGUAUGUACUGAUCUUACUGAUUCCUCCUUCCUGAUGAACCGUAAUGCCAUUAAUUUGGUGUUGCGGGGAGACUGGACUGUUACUUUGAAAAAAUUAGAGUGUUUAAAGCAGGCUAACGCUUGAAUACAUUAGCAUGGAAUAAUGAAAUAGGACGUUCGAUCCUAUUUUGUUGGUUUCUAGGAUAGACGUAAUGAUUAAUAGGGAUAGUUGGGGGCAUUAGUAUUCAAUUGUCAGAGGUGAAAUUCUUGGAUUUAUUGAAGACUAACUACUGCGAAAGCAUUUGCCAAGGAUGUUUUCAUUAAUCAAGAACGAAAGUUAGGGGAUCGAAGACGAUCAGAUACCGUCGUAGUCUUAACCAUAAACUAUGCCGACUAGGGAUCGGAUGAUGUUAAUUUUUUAAUGACUCAUUCGGCGCCUUACGGGAAAC
rnacentral:rRNA from 1 species